UGUUAAACUAAGUGCCGAACAGAUACGAUGGCACCAAUGAGCCACCUCUAUGGCUAACCAUGCCCAGUACCUGCCCCCAGUACCUGACCUGCACGUCCUGCACUUCCUGUGUCUGCGAGUCCCGGUUCUCCUCGGUAACUGAUGGUGUGGCUGUUUGCUGGAGCUGCAACCUGUGACCCUGUGGGCAGGUAAGACUUCUUCCCAGGGGGUGGUCAUUUGGGGUCCUCCAAAGUAGCUCCUUGGAAAAGAAGCCAG
rnacentral:lncRNA from 12 species